rnacentral:lncRNA from 1 species
CUUAGCGCCCCCUCGCGGCCCAAGUGCGCAUAUGCAUUUAACGUUGUUGUGCUGCAAUCUCUACAGGGGCGAUGAAAAAAUCUUUGGCGAAUGUUGUGGCAUCUGGCGCUGAUACGACCAACUCUCUCUGUCUGUCCCCAACAGUUUAUUUAUUUCGCAAGAAUUCCGUGGAGGAAACAUUUUUUUCCAUGUUUGAAGUCUUGCUUGGUGAUGGAAUGAGUCAUUUUCUGAAGCAAUGAGAUGGAAGGAACCUUCAUAGCAUCCAACAAACAAGGAUUUCUAUGAGGCAUUGUGUUUUCCACAUUGCAGACCUCUGUAUCACCAACUUAAAUGAGCCUCCACCUGUCCACCAUGAUCUCCCCCAAACUUAAUCCACACCUCUUCUUCAGGAAUUGCCCCAUCGUGAGUUGUGAGAAAUCCAUUCCUGUGGAAAGAUGAUGGAACAUGAACAUAUGGUCUGUGACUCUGCUAUGGACCUAGUGAAUCACUGUUGACUGUCCAUGGUUCAAGUGAGGAUUGGCAAACCUGGUCAUUUCUUGAUUACCUACAGAAUGCAAUUGCAACAUAUGCAAAAUCUUAUGCAGGAAUGGGGCUAUAGCAGUGAUGGGACACUACCUUUGACUGUGAAGAUCAGACGAUGCAAUUCCCGUUGGUCAGCCCCCCCCCCCCCCCAAGGAGCCAUGCACUGCCAGAGAUCUUGAGCCAGGUCUUCAGUGGUUAUCCAUUGAUAAGAAGAACGGAGAUAAUAAAGACAGUGAGGUAUCUUGUUGAUUUCGACGUGACCAUCUUCCUAACGCUUCUUCCAAACAAUGAACUGGAGGCUCUUUCCACGAAUGAAUGUUUAGCUGCUUCAAGUGUGAUUCCAGCUUUUUCAAGAGCUUCUUGUUGUUCUACUUCUACUGGCCUUUAUUGUAGUUAACAUGUCCUGUGAAUGUUUUUAGGAGCCCAGUUUUGCUACAAACACAGUAAACCUCAAGUUCACAUAUAGUUAAAAAAACGGUCUACUUGUAACAUUAUCUAGGAAAAAGUUCUACAAAUUGGACAUGGUGAAACUUUUCAUUCAUUAUGUUUUCAGUAUUUACUGAGGUACUCACUACAAAAGGAAGUUGGGGUCAAAAGGUCAAGUUUUUGUUCAACUUGGUCACAUUCCUUUAUUUCUGCAUCAAUUAUGUUCACACUACAUCUGAUCCUUGGGUAAUACAUGUACUUUCAUUAGGAUAAUGGGUCAAAGGCCUAAUGUUAAUAAUCAACUGCCUAAUGUUAAUAAUCAACUGAAAAUUACUUAGUCAGAAAAGGUGGUUUAUUGGAUUCCCUAUCUUUUGCUUAUAAUUAUUUUUUUUCAAAUUUAGUAUUUCUCCAUCAAAUCUGACAAAUUCAUUAUUUUUUUAUCAAUAAUUAUUAAACGAUGUCAGUAAUAAGAGUUUUGAGAAACAUGUGCAAGUAUAUGUACCAAUAUCCAUGUGCAGAAUAUUUGCUGCAAGGUUAAAUGCUACAGUGAAAUUUUAAAGUGCGCAACCAUAGGAUACGGGAAAAGAGUUCUUGCAGCCUUUGAUGUACUUAUAAAGAUCAAGAUAGAAUUCACCCAAAACAUCUAUUAGGUGUUAGUAGCUGAAAAUAUCCUAGAUUAGUUCAGAACUAUUCAUCUGGAAGAAGAGACAAGUCAAAGCAUUUUAAACAAUUUCAAAACUUACCUGCGCUAUAUUUGUUUUUAAUUGAUAUGCAGUUAGAAUUGAUCAAAUUCUGAUUGCAAGCUGACAAAUUUAUUUAAAAGGAGGGUAUUAACAUGAAUGUAUUUCAAUACAAAUAAGACAUCUCUGGCAGUCUUGCCUGCAUUAUUAUGCAAUUCAAUAUGGUCAGAAGUUCGGUAUGGAAAUGGGUGGAUAAUGGAAAAAGUAUUUGUCGAGUUAAAUGCCAAUAAUUGAAUAAUAUUAAAUUCAAUUAUCAAUAAAAAAAAGACUUCUGGAAUGUCUCUCUACAGUUAUUAUUCAUGACAUGUCUAAUUAUACUACACUAGUAGGAAAAUGUCAUAAUAAUAUAAUAUUCAAAUUGAAAAAAAAAAUUUAGUUCCAAUAAUUUAGAUAUAUUUCACUUCAAACUUUAAUUCAAAGACUACAGGCAUCACUUUUUAUACGCCCGUCUUGACGGGACGUAUUAAGGUAUCAUGCUCGGUGUCCGUCCGUCCGUUAACUUUUCCUUGUAAACGUGAUAACUUCAGUUUAGAGCAAUUUCAAAAAAGAGCUUGUAGAAUCUAGGCUCAUAUAAUUUGGUGCACGAUACUAGCAUGGAUCCCAGGAAGCCUAUUGAUUUAGAGGUCAGAAGGUCAAAGGUGAAGUCACCAUCUUUCACUUAUCUUGUUUGACCAAUAGCUCCAUUUUCCAUGUUACAGACAGCAUAUAUCUUGUGCCCGCCUUAGCAACACUCUUGUUCGAUUUGAAGUGUAUUGAUUAAGAAGUUAAUAACAUGUAACAGUCUGUUAAAAUUCUUGGUGUAAUCGUCCAAUCCAAUCUAAAAUGGGACCUACAUAUCAUGGAAAUCAUCAAAAAAUGUAACAGGAAGUUGUACAUGUUUAGGCUUUCGAAGCAAUAUGGGCUGUCUCUAUCGGAUCUGAAAUUGGUAUACAUGGGCUACAUUCGUCCUGUUAUGGAAUAUUGCACCCCAGUUUUUAAUGGUGGGCUUACAAAGAAAUAUGUAAGAAGUUUAGAGCAAAUUCAAAAAAGAGCUUGUAGAAUCAUGUUGGGCCCAAACUACCCGGGCAAACUACACAGAUUAUGCCAGUGCUUGCCUAUCAUGUGAAAUUCCUACUCUGGAAUACAGAAGGGAGAAACUCGGCCUGGAUUUCGCAAUAUCUGUAACCAAAUAUCCAACAUUCAGUACCUGGUUACCUCCUCCAAAAAACUUACCCA